UACGUAGGGUGCGAGCGUUAAUCGGAAUUACUGGGCGUAAAGUGUGCGCAGGCGGCAGAGCAAGUCGAGUGUGAAAGCCCCGGGCUUAACUUGGGAAUUGCGCUCGAAACUACUUUGCUGGAGUGUGGCAGAGGAAGGUGGAAUUCCACGUGUAGCGGUGAAAUGCGUAGAGAUGUGGAGGAACACCAAUGGCGAAGGCAGCCUUCUGGGCCAACACUGACGCUGAGACGCGAAAGCGUGGGGAGCAAACAGG
rnacentral:rRNA from 1 species